CGGAAGUGUUUUGCGUACACGCGUUUCAGCAUGAAGCCUGCAGGUGGACGUAAAUUGUAGAAGGCAGCUAGUGGGGGAGAAGAUCAUGGUCAUAGGUCAUAUGGCUCCUGGAGCUCCCAGUGGGCUCCCUUGUGGAGUACUUUUCAGAACACACACACAGUUCGCUCACAGAACCAACGAGUAGGAUGUUACUUGAAUACUGAGAGAAAAUGGCGUAACACAUACAAAUAUCGUGUGACACAUAUGACAAUAAAAACAUUUUUCACGAGG